rnacentral:rRNA from 1 species
AUGGCUCAGAUUGAACGCUGGCGGCAGGCUUAACACAUGCAAGUCGAGCGGUAACAGAGAUAGCUUGCUAUCUGCUGACGAGCGGCGGACGGGUGAGUAAUGCUUGGGAAUAUGCCUUAUGGUGGGGGACAACAGUUGGAAACGACUGCUAAUACCGCAUAACGUCUACGGACCAAAGGGGGGGAUCUUCGGACCUCUCGCCAUUUGAUUAGCCCAAGUGAGAUUAGCUAGUUGGUAAGGUAAAGGCUUACCAAGGCGACGAUCUCUAGCUGGUUUGAGAGGAUGAUCAGCCACACUGGGACUGAGACACGGCCCAGACUCCUACGGGAGGCAGCAGUGGGGAAUAUUGCACAAUGGGCGAAAGCCUGAUGCAGCCAUGCCGCGUGUGUGAAGAAGGCCUUCGGGUUGUAAAGCACUUUCAGUUGUGAGGAAAGGGUGUUUGUUAAUAGCAAACAUCUGUGACGUUAACAACAGAAGAAGCACCGGCUAACUUCGUGCCAGCAGCCGCGGUAAUACGAGGGGUGCAAGCGUUAAUCGGAAUUACUGGGCGUAAAGCGUUCGUAGGCGGUUUAUUAAGCAAGAUGUGAAAGCCCAGGGCUCAACCUUGGAACUGCAUUUUGAACUGGUAGACUAGAGUACUGUAGAGGGUGGUGGAAUUUCCAGUGUAGCGGUGAAAUGCGUAGAGAUUGGAAGGAACAUCAGUGGCGAAGGCGGCCACCUGGACAGAUACUGACGCUGAGGAACGAAAG